rnacentral:rRNA from 1 species
UGGGGAAUUUUGGACAAUGGGCGCAAGCCUGAUCCAGCCAUGCCGCGUGCAGGAUGAAGGCCUUCGGGUUGUAAACUACUUUUGUACGGAACGAAAAGGUGCCUUCUAAUAAAGGGCGCUCAUGACGGUACCGUAAGAAUAAGCACCGGCUAACUACGUGCCAGCAGCCGCGGUAAUACGUAGGGUGCGAGCGUUAAUCGGAAUUACUGGGCGUAAAGCGUGCGCAGGCGGUUUUGUAAGACAGAGGUGAAAUCCCCGGGCUCAACCUGGGAACUGCCUUUGUGACUGCAAGGCUGGAGUGCGGCAGAGGGGGAUGGAAUUCCGCGUGUAGCAGUGAAAUGCGUAGAUAUGCGGAGGAACACCGAUGGCGAAGGCAAUCCCCUGGGCCUGCACUGACGCUCAUGCACGAAAGCGUGGGGAGCAAACA